rnacentral:rRNA from 1 species
CAGUCGCCGCGGGAAUACGAAGGGGGCUAGCGUUGUUCGGAAUUACUGGGCGUAAAGCGCACGCAGGCGGCUCGAUAAAUUAGAAGUGAAAGCCUUGGGCUUAACCUGAGAAUUGCUUUUAAGACUGUCGAGCUAGAAUCCAGAAGAGGGUAGUGGAAUUCCGAGUGUAGAGGUGAAAUUCGUAGAUAUUCGGAAGAACACCAGUGGCGAAGGCGACUACCUGGUCUGGCAUUGACGCUCAUGUGCGAAAGCGUGGGGAGCAAACAGGAUUAGAUACCCCAGUAGUCCCUGUCUCUUAUAC